UACUAGCUGUCCAAGUCGCAGCCAUCUUUAUUGGGUCUAAAACAUCCGUAGCUUGUUCAGUGAGUUCCUUGUGAAAUCCUAUAUCUUAAGUAUAGGGCGCGCAAGGAGUACUGCUGGGCUAGAGACCGGAAGACGUAAGAAGUACGUUUGAAGUAGCGGUUAAAUGCGUUAAUCUUAAACGGACUCACAACAGCGAAGGCAUCUUACGAGGACGGUUCUGACAGUGAGGGAUGAAGGCCAGGGGCGCAAAACGG
rnacentral:rRNA from 1 species